UGGGGAAUAUUGCACAAUGGGGGAAACCCUGAUGCAGCGACGCCGCGUGAGCGAAGAAGUAUUUCGGUAUGUAAAGCUCUAUCAGCAGGGAAGAAAUUGACGGUACCUGACUAAGAAGCACCGGCUAAAUACGUGCCAGCAGCCGCGGUAAUACGUAUGGUGCAAGCGUUAUCCGGAUUUACUGGGUGUAAAGGGAGCGCAGACGGAGCAGCAAGUCUGGAGUGAAAACCCGGGGCUCAACCCCGGGACUGCUUUGGAAACUGUUGUUCUAGAGUGCUGGAGAGGUAAGUGGAAUUCCUAGUGUAGCGGUGAAAUGCGUAGAUAUUAGGAGGAACACCAGUGGCGAAGGCGGCUUACUGGACAGUAACUGACGUUGAGGCUCGAAAGCGUGGGGAGCAAACA
rnacentral:rRNA from 1 species